rnacentral:rRNA from 1 species
CACUUUGUCUUUAUGGCAAAUGUGAGAUGCAGUGUAUGGAAUGUCAAAUUUCUAGUAUGAGAAAUUAACGAUUUAAGUCCUUCUUAAAUGAGGCCAUUUACCCAUAGAGGGUGCCAGGCCCGUAUAACGUUAAUGAUUACUAGAUGGCAUUUCCAAAGAGUCGUGUUGCUUGAUAGUGCAGCACUAAGUGGGUGGUAAACUCCAUCUAAAACUAAAUAUAACCAUGAGACCGAUAGUAAACAAGUACCGUGAGGGAAAGUUGAAAAGAACUCUGAAUAGAGAGUUAAAUAGUACGUGAAACUGCUUAGAGGUUAAGCCCGAUGAACCUGAAUAUCCAUUAUAGAAAAUUCAUCAUUAUGAUUUUAAUAUUUAUAAUAUUAUAAUAAUGGUGUGCAUUUUUUCUAUAACGGACAUUGUAAUCUAUUAACAUAAACCAAAUUUAUCAUAAGAUCAAUGAUGCGUAAGUUUAUUCAAAUUAUUUUGCUUGCAAUUUAACAUAGAAUAAAUGCUCUUGAUUUGAUAAAGUGUUGAUAGAUUUAUUAUAUAUAGUGCUUAAAUAUUUUAUAUUUUAUAAUAGCAUAUUAAUCAUUGAUUUUUAUGUUUAUUAUAUGCACUUAUAUGAUUAACAAUGCGAAAGAUUCAGGAUACCUUCGGGACCCGUCUUGAAACACGGACCAAGGAGUCUAACAUAUUUGCAAGUUAUUGGGUAUUUAAAACCUAAUAGCGAAAUUAACAUAACUUUAAUGGGAUUAGUUUUUAGAUUAUUUUUAAUAGUCUAUUAAUUCAAUCCCGGGGCGUUCUAUAUAGUUAUGUAUAAUAAUAUUUAUAUUAUUUAUACCUCUAACUAGAGCGUACCUUGAGCAUAUAUGCUGUGACCCGAAAGAUGGUGAACUAUACUUGAUCAGGUUGAA